rnacentral:misc_RNA from 1 species
CCAGAACUGAUUUCUUUACCCUUACCCACAGAAGAGUAGACGCGCUAGAUAGUCCCUUGUCAAGGAAAUGAAGGGCUGGAACUCAAGUGAAGUGUUUUCUACAAGUUCUGCACAAUCUUUACUCCUAAUAUUCCAUAUUCCAGUCGAUGAAUUCUCUGAUUGAGGUGGAACCUUGGAAUGCAUCUUAGGUGAAAGAGUUGCAAGGAGACCAUGGACUACAGAAUAGGUUAGAUGUAGGUUCUGACACCUCAGCUACCUGAUAGAUUGCACCAUGCAAGGCCAACAGUUAAACCAAAAGCCAUAUCUUGUCCCUUUUCCAGUUGUAGCGAUAUUAAGUAGUCCAGUAAAUGAUUCUUUUCUUCACCAACAAACCGCUGCAUUUAAAGAGCAGCACUUUUCCUCUCGACUUCAUGCAGUUGCUUUAACAAAACAACUUAAUAAUGGUGAAAAUGCAUGCUAACCAUAAUAAAUGGGCUAUUGAGAAGAACAAAAUGAGGAAGCAGUAAAAAAAUAUUUAAUAAAAUAAUUGAAAAAAUAGGAUUAUGGGAAUAUUCACAUUCCAAAGUAAAAGUGAGGAAAAAUAUUUAAACAAGCAAAGCAUCAGAAAUGGCACCACCUUAGAACACCAAACUCCUUAGGUGGUCCCUUUAAGAUGCAGGAGGUAAAGAGUAAUCCCCCUCCUCUUGUUUCUUUUCCCCAGUAAAAAAUAAAUCUCACGUAUAAUUCCCUUAUUAAUUGUUUUUACAUCUCAUUAAAUGCAUAAUUCAUACAUG